ensembl:lncRNA
CUCCCCUUGAGAGCUUGAGUCCUGCUCAGGCAGUUCCGCUCUGCCGAGGCGGUGUUUCUCCUACCUCUGAAGGCAGCACGUCUCACUGAGACCAUCACCGACACCCCCCAGGGUGACAGCCUGGCAAGCCUCAGCUCCCUGCACCACUUCUGAGUCACCUGGACAUUCCCAAGCCAUGUCAGCCUCCCAACCUGUGCGGCCGGAUGUUGCUCCUUCCGCUUCCACCACCACAAGAGACCUGCAGUUCUUGUUUCUGGCGCUCAGAUCCAUACCAGAAAACCAGAAUAUCAGCACAGUAAUAACAGCUGGCUAGAGCCCUGCUCUCUCUUCAGCCCUGCAGCUGUUCUCCCAUGUCACUUUAACUUUGUCUACAUUGUCGUAGUAUUCAUGAGUUCCAAAAAUAUAUUAUAAAAGUGGAAUAAAAGUGUGACACCUAUUUCCUCUUGCUUCCUCACUAUGGUCUUCUGUCAGUUUAGUCACAGAAGUAAAAAUAGAACCAAUUAUGAGGAAGGGAUGUCACAUGGAAGUAGCUUGAUAUUGUAUAUCCCAGUAAAAUAAUAGCAGCAAGGGUGUGCCCAAUUUCUAUAUCUGCUAAGAGAAAUGGCCUCUUGCAAACACUGUUCAGAAAGUUUGACUAAUUGCCAGCAUCAGAUGAAUAACAAAAUGCUGUCAAUAAAAGAAAUGAUUCUGUUCCUGUUAGCAACAGGGAAAACUGGCAGGAUUAGACCCGAAAGAGAGAGUAAUACAAAGGUCAUAUAUCUGAUUUCAGUCACAUAGAAGGAUUAUUGAUUUAUUCGAGGGUUACUGAAAUGAAGCUCUGGCUCAUGGUUCAGGUGAAGAUGGGAGG